UACCAAACACACCAUUCCAUGUCCUAGUUUUGGUAGUUUGUAAGAAAGCAUUAAUGCUUUAACCUCUCCCCACCAAACACUAGCCAAGAUUGAGGUGUCGUAGUUUUGCUCUUGGACUAUCUGCUUAGAUCGGCGAUUCCCACAUCUUCUUCAAUUUCUCGAAAAACGCCAAACUUUUAAAAAGAAAAGGGCAGGCUCCCACGCGCAAUUCUCUCAAUAUAAAUGCGUGUGAUGGAAGCCAUGCAAAUGCAACAAUCACUCAUUUCUACUAAGUAAAUUCUGUAAAAUGAUGAGCGAAGGCGGGCAUGGCGUGGUUCCUCUAUUGUUGCAGGAGAGGUUCAGACAGUUGCAAAGAAUGAAAGAGAUGAGAGAGGAGAGAGAGUUAGUGAGAAUGUUGUUAUGUAGCACUAGCAGUUUUAAUUACUUUGCGGAGCCACCGAAGCCGCAUUGCCAACUUUCGCUGUCGAUGUGGCCGGAUUGGCCGCCGCCGCCGCCGCCGCCCCGAUCAAAUCCUUCAAAGUCGUUGCGCUUUGCUGAUCAAAGCUGCGCCUCUGAUAUCGACACUUCUCUUCAUCUGUG
rnacentral:lncRNA from 1 species